GAUGAACGCUAGCGGCAGGCCUAACACAUGCAAGUCGAGGGGCAGCACAUAAAGUGGUUUACUACUUUUGGUGGCGACCGGCGGACGGGUGCGUAACGCGUAUGCAACCUGCCUCCAACAGGGGGAUAACGGAGAGAAAUUUCCACUAAUACCCCAUAAUAUCAGAAUCGGCAUCGGUUUUGGUUGAAAACUCCGGUGGUUGGAGAUGGGCAUGCGUUGUAUUAGAUAGUUGGUGAGGUAACGGCUCACCAAGUCAACGAUACAUAGGGGGACUGAGAGGUUAGCCCCCCACACUGGAACUGAGACACGGACCAGACUCCUACGGGAGGCAGCAGUGAGGAAUAUUGGUCAAUGGGGGCAACCCUGAACCAGCCAUGCCGCGUGCAGGAAGACGGCUCUAUGAGUUGUAAACUGCUUUUACAAGGGGAUAAAUCGGUGUACGUGUACACCGUUGAAGGUACCUUGGGAAUAAGGAUCGGCUAACUCCGUGCCAGCAGCCGCGGUAA
rnacentral:rRNA from 1 species